UGGUAGCGCCGACAAACGAACAGACAGAUCCUGUACUGCGCAUGUGCUGUGGUAAAACUGGCCUAAAGAAAGGGGCGGGGUUUACCCCGGAGAGCAGAGAACAACGACGCAUGCGCGCGGGUUGUCCCACCCUUUGCGUUAGGGCGCGAGUGACGGAAGCAGAUCCCUCUAUUUAUCAUUCACUCUGGAGGAAGCCAGCUGCCUGGUCAUAAGCAAUCCUAUGGAGAGGCCCAUGAAUUGAGAAACUGAGGCCUCUUGCCCAACAGCCAUGUGAGUGAUCUCAGAAGUGGAUCCUCCCAGCCCAUUCAAGCCUUUGGAUGACUGCGGCCCCAACUGACAGUUUGACUGUAGACUCAUGACAGACUGAACCAGAACCACCCAACUAAGCUGUUCCCAGAUUUAUGAUCCUGGAAAUUGUAUUGGUCAUCAUGAUCACCAAACAGGCUUGUCUAAUGUUGGCAUUCUGUGAAAUUACUUGUGUUCAACAGAAGUACAUCAUGGCCUCACUGCGAAGCCCAGCCAGCUCCUGGAUGUCAGAGACUGCUUUCCAAUUUCUCAGAUGUAGCACAAGAUAGUGAUUCACUGGCAGACAAGAAAUCUGUAUCUCUAAUAAGAUACCUAUGUGAUUCUGAUUGAAGGAAUCUAAGACCAUGCUUUAAUAACUAUUCCUAUGGUAAGAAGUAGGGCUGAAAAUGGAGGAGCAGAUUGUAAAGAUCCUUAAAACACAGACUAAUAGGUUUGAACGUAAUUCUGCCAGCAACAACAACAAUUAAUGGCAUAUGAGCAAAGAAGAACCUUCCCAAGUAGGGUUCAGAAAGAGUUUCCUGUUUAGUAACAAAUAGAAAGGUUAGGUACUGUCUAAGAAUGGGGGCGAGCCUGGGGACAAGCAGGGAGAAUAGAAGCAGAUAAACCACCAGCUAGGAAACUCCUGCAAGGGACCAGGCCUGACAAGACAAGGAGUUAGAUUAAAACAUUGCCAGUGGGCAUGGAAAGAAAGUAUUGAAUGUGAAAGACAUUAAGUAAGAAUCUGAAAUCCAUUCAAGGGCAGGGAUUUGCGUUGAUAAAUUCUUAGCUCCCAGCCCUGUGCUUGGGGACAAAAUGAGCAUCCAAUAAAUAUUUAAGCACUAAAUCAAUUAACCAACUAAUUGGAUUAUGUAACUGAGAUGAUGUGGGGGAAGAGGAAGAAGGAAAAAUCAGGAGUGAUUUAGGGAGAGUUAGGAAGGGAAAAUUAUUUCAGAAAAAGGAGCAUCCACUUUAGUCAAGUUUAAUCUCUGUAAUGGUGAAAUAUUCUAGCCAGAAGUUACUGAUGUGGGUUUGGAAUUUGAAUUUAAGAGAGAGGUUAAGGGGUCAGGCGCAGUGGCUCAUGCCUGUAAUCCCAGCACUUUGGGAGGCUGAGGCGAGCAGAUCACUUGAGGUUGGGAGUUUGAGACCAGUCUGGCCAACAUGGUGAAACCCUGUCUCUACUAAAAAUACGAAAAUUAGCCGGAAUGGUGGCGUGCUACUCUAGAAGCUGAGGCAUGAGAAUCGCUUGAACUCAGGAGGCAGAGGUUGCAGUGAGCCGAGAUCAUGCCAUUGCACUCCAGCCUGGGUGACAGUGAGACUCUGUCUCAAAAAAAAAGAGAGAGAGAGAGGCUAAGGUAGGGGUUGCAGGAUGAAUAAGUGGGUAGAUUGAAGUCAUUGGAGCACAUGGAAUUUUCAAGAGUGGGUAGGUGAAGAAAGAAUGGAAGACAGGGUCAGCCUCCCGCUGAUUUGCCAUGGCAGUUCUUGUUUUCUACUUUAGAAGAUGAGUUGACAUCAGGGGAAAUAAAUUAUGACUAUUUCAGGAAUACAACGUAGGUCUUCUGAGAAUGGUUUCUGGAGUCAUCAGACAGGGUUUCCAAGACACCUCUGUCCCACUCAAGCUGUGACUUUUCCUGUGUUUAACCUAAGUUGAAAUUUUCUCAUCUGUAAAAAGCUGGUGAUAAAUGUAAAGCAAGCUCUUAAAGAUAGGCCCAGAAAUAAAAUUAAAAAAUACAAACCUCGCAUGGCAAUGUCUGAGUGAUGACACGCAGUAAGUAUGGUGAAGCUUCAGUUAGCUGAUGAGGAUAUAUUAGUUUUCUCAAAACAUCAUCUCUUAAGUAGGAAUGGCCAUCCACGGUGACUUUAACCUUCCAUAUCAUAGGACAACAACUACGAAUUUAGGCUUAUCCAGUUGUUGCCGAAAGAGUGGCAUUCCCAGAGCACUUUCAGAAACUGAGUAUGUAGAAAAUAAGAGCGAACACUCUUAUCUUGACCAGACAAUGCUAUAUCCAACCAUGAAUAGGAUUAUUAUAUAAAAGUAAAUGUAUUUGAGAUAGCUCUUGCCUGGCCCAAUCAGAGUUUUGUAAAAACGUAUUUUCAGAUAGCUCACUUAAAGCAUCUGCCUUUCUCAUUGAAAUCUAACCAAAAGGUGGCGGUAUUCUAUACAAAUGCUAACUAGUCCCUUAACUGUUACCUGUGUUUUGUAAAACAAAUGUCACAACAGCAUACAUUGAGAAUUAAAUUGCUAAAGAACCACCCCCCUGCCCCCACAGAAAAAAAGUUACCAGGCUUUAUUGAGAAAAAUUGAGAUUUGCAAGAAAAGAUUAAAAUGCAAUGCAGAACACAACCCAGCCCAGUGUGUUAGAGUACUUGUGUACCCACCAAGAUUCCUAUGAUACACUAGAUGUCAGAGACACAGGGGGUGCCACAUCAUUUCCACGCUUAAUACAUACACAGCCCUCUUCUUGCUUAUCACACUAUCCAUCUGAACAGUCUAAAAUUUAUAAGGGCUUCUUUUUCUUUAGACAAAUCUUUAUUCCCCAGCCUUCUUCCCAGGGUGGCCUUCCAGUUUAUCACAACAGUCUGUGUAAUCUG